AGUGAACGCUGGCGGUAGGCCUAACACAUGCAAGUCGAACGGCAGCACAGUAAGAGCUUGCUCUUACGGGUGGCGAGUGGCGGACGGGUGAGGAAUACAUCGGAAUCUACUUUUUCGUGGGGGAUAACGUAGGGAAACUUACGCUAAUACCGCAUACGACCUACGGGUGAAAGCAGGGGAUCUUCGGACCUUGCGCGAUUGAAUGAGCCGAUGUCGGAUUAGCUAGUUGGCGGGGUAAAGGCCCACCAAGGCGACGAUCCGUAGCUGGUCUGAGAGGAUGAUCAGCCACACUGGAACUGAGACACAGUCCAGACUCCUACGGGAGGCAGCAGUGGGGAAUAUUGGACAAUGGGCGCAAGCCUGAUCCAGCCAUACCACGUGGGUGAAGAAGGCCUUCGGGUUGUAAAGCCCUUUUGUUGGGAAAGAAAAGCAGCAGGUUAAUACCCCGCUGUUCUGACGGUACCCAAAGAAUAAGCACCGGCUAACUUCGUG
rnacentral:rRNA from 1 species